GGGCCAUUAGCUCAGGUGGUUUAGAGCGCACCCCUGAUUAAGGUGAGGUCCCUGGUUCAAGUCCAGGGAUUGGG
rnacentral:tRNA from 1 species